CCGCCGACCAGAGAAGACACUCCAAGUGCGAAUGCACUAAAAAGACUGUGUUUGACUCUAAAUCAAAACACCUAGUAGUUGCCCAAGGCAGCCCCCAAGCUUAAAUACCACCCCGCGGGAUCCCAACUCAUUACCGCCGACCAGAGAAGACACUCCAAGUGCGAAUGCACUAAAAAGACUGUGUUUGACUCUAAAUCAAAACACCUAGUAGUUGCCCAAGGCAGCCCCCAAGCUUAAAUACCACCCCGCGGGAUCCCAACUCAUUACCGCCGACCAGAGAAGACACUCCAAGUGCGAAUGCACUAAAAAGACUGUGUUUGACUCUAAAUCAAAACACCUAGUAGUUGCCCAAGGUAAAGC